rnacentral:rRNA from 1 species
GCUAUCUGUUGCCAGCAAAGUGAUGUUGGGGACGUCAGAUGGAACUGCCGGUGCAAACCGGAGGAAGGUGGGGACGACGUCAAGUCAUCAUGGCCCUUAUGUCCUGGGCUACACACGUGCUACAAUGGCCGGUACAGAGCGCAGCGAAGCCGCGAGGCAAAGCGAAUCGCAAAAAGCCGGUCUCAGUACGGAUUGGAGUCUGAAACCCGACUCCAUGAAGUUGGAAUCGCUAGUAAUCGCGCAUCAGCAUGGCGCGGUGAAUACGUUCCCGGGCCUU